GAUGAACGCUGGCGGCGUGCCUAAUACAUGCCAGUCGAGCGAACGGACGAGAAGCUUGCUUCUCUGAUGUUAGCGGCGGGCGGGUGAGUAACACGUGGAUAACCUACCUAUAAGACUGGGAUAACUUCGGGAAACCGGAGCUAAUACCGGAUAAUAUUUUGAACCGCAUGGUUCAAAAGUGAAAGACGGUCUUGCUGUCACUUAUAGAUGGAUCCGCGCUGCAUUAGCUAGUUGGUAAGGUAACGGCUUACCAAGGCAACGAUGCAUAGCCGACCUGAGAGGGUGAUCGGCCACACUGGAACUGAGACACGGUCCAGACUCCUACGGGAGGCAGCAGUAGGAAAUCUUCCGCAAUGGGCGAAAGCCUGACGGAGCAACGCCGCGUGAGUGAUGAAGGUCUUCGGAUCGUAAAACUCUGUUAUUAGGGAAGAACAUAUGUGUAAGUAACUGUGCACAUCUUGACGGUACCUAAUCAGAAAGCCACGGCUAACUACGUG
rnacentral:rRNA from 1 species